GUGUGCGUGUGUUUGUGUGUGUGUGUGUGCGUGCGCACGUUUGGUUUCAAGGUGUGUCACCAUCUUGUGGUACAGUUUCAGUUGGAUGCUGACAAGAAAAAGUCCUCUCACAUUCCUACCUGCAUUUCUGUGUCACUGUGUGUGUGUGUGUGUGUGUGUGUGUGUGUGUGUGUGUGUGUGUGUGUGUGUGUGUGUGUGUGUGUGUGUGUGUGUUACUCACAUGACAUUAUACGCUCGCCGGGAAGGUGAAAAGAUGUUGUAAAAGUGCACGCUCAUGUUGUGUUGUUUUGAUUCAGAUCACAUGAUCUGACAAGACCGAGCUCGCGCGUCGUUCCAGAACGACAACUUUGCAGCCUUCUCCUUCCACUGAGAUCUGCCAUCAAAAACCUUCAGUGUGUUUUCAAAGAAGUUUAGAUUUGGGGAAUCAUUUUUGGAACUAGAUGAGGCAAUACCUGAAGUAAUUGCCUGUGAAUGCUCCAAUGCUGUAGCUGACAGACUGUCGUAUGAAUGUAAGAAUAGUUUGAAUGCGGAAGAGUUUGAAUUUCCAUGAAAAAUGGAAUUUGGUUUGGAGCGAGGGAAAGUGUUAGUUUGAAUCUCCAGGAUGAGUGGAAUGUGUUGUUGGAAAAAUGUGAGCGUGGUGGAAGUUUGAAAAAUGAGCAAUUCAUUUUGAAUGGAGAAAAUGUCCCUAAAAACUGGGACUUCUGGGAAAUUCCUAACAAGAUGGUGAUGGAUUCACUAGCUCUUUAUCAACAAGCCAAAACAACAACGGCAAGCUGAACUGUGCUGUAUGGGUUGCUCUACAAACACGUGCACACGCACAAAAGUCCCUCUUGUGCCCUAACAAACGAUCAGAAAUCACAAAAAUUCUUAGCUUUAACAACCAUAUCGCUACAAUAAUAAACAUUUAAAAAAAGAAAAAUCCGCUUACAGUACAUGAACGUCGGCGGAGAAGCAGACCGUGGGAGAAGGACAGUGUGUGUACAUACCAUACCAUCUUUAUUUAUAAAGCCCUUUAAAAACAAGCACAGUUAAAGAACAAAGGGCUGAACACCACAAAGAAAUACAGGCAAAGGACAGAUUAAAAAAAAAAAAUUAAAACAGAAUUAAGAAACACAUUGAAAUAGCAAAUACAAACUACCCUAAGAAUAAUUUGUUGGAUAAAAAGCAUUUAAAAACAGUUAAAAAAGUUAAAAACAUUUUAAAGUCAUUUCUUUUCUUGAAACGCGAGGUAGUAUUUUUUCCCCCCACUGUGAAAUAAGUCCGCAUUGGCAUCUGUCAGGUUCAAACGCUGAUGACAUCUAUUAAACAGACAAGAAGCAAGGAAUCAUGCAGAGACAGAGUUCAAUUUUGCUCAAUGAAGAGAGAUGUUUGGGCUGUACUCUAGUUAAAGAAACAACCUACGCUCUAAAAUCCUGCCCAAGUGCUCCUCUAUCUGGGAGGUCCCUGGUUACGUCACUGAGGCUGCCGCUGAAGGAAGGGGAGAGUAAUCUCAGCAGCCCCAGUUAGACACAAUAUUUGACUAUUCAUGAAAAGCAAAUGUGCUAACACUCGUGAUAUCGCCCUGUCUCUGCUCUGUCUGCGUCACAACACUCGAUGUUCUCCCUUGGCAGUCAGCAGGCCGGUUCUGGACACAGACACUGAUAGGAGACGACUCGCUUUGCACAGAUAGAAAAGUACAACUUCAGCACAGUUGAAAAUUCCGUUAUCACAACUAAAAACUUUCUAGAACUCUCCAAUACGAGCAAGCACAAAAUGGCUGCCAGUGGGACACAAAAUGGAUAAAUGAAGGUGAUAAGUUUGUAAACAAAAAAAGUUUGCUAGUAGAGAGAUUGGUAAAUUGAGGUUCCAAUACUCGCAAAUGAGACUGAGAAAUUUAAUUAGAAAUUAAAGCUGCAAGGAGCAAUGGACGGGACUGCUUUGGCUAAUGCCCCCGCGACCCAAGCCCAGAUAAGCGGUAGAAGAUGGAUGGAUGGAUGGAUGGAUUAUUACACAGAGAAAAAGUUGUAUACAUAUGUGUUAUACAUCAGUCUUGUAGUAAUAACAGUUGUAAAGUGGCUUGGGCAUUUUAUAAGGAUGCCUUGGUGCCGCUAUUUUGAGACUGUAAUACAUUGUGAAUGUAUUAGAGCAAACUUCCUGUACAUUUUAGCUGGAGGUUGUCAGUGUAUGAAAUAUAGGUCUCAGUGAGACCUACAUGGAGGUUUUUGUUUCAUGUGUGUA